rnacentral:rRNA from 1 species
UGCCAGCCGCCGCGGUAAUACGGAGGGGGUUAGCGUUGUUCGGAAUUACUGGGCGUAAAGCGUACGUAGGCGGAUCAGAAAGUAUAGGGUGAAAUCCCGGGGCUCAACCCUGGAACUGCCUUUAAAACUCCCAGUCUUGAGUUCGAGAGAGGUGAGUGGAAUUCCGAGUGUAGAGGUGAAAUUCGUAGAUAUUCGGAGGAACACCAGUGGCGAAGGCGGCUCACUGGACUGAUACUGACGCUGAGGUGCGAAAGUGUGGGGAGCAAACAGGAUUAGAUA